ACACAGCACAUUCAGAGAGAGAGACACACAGGGCAGCCAAGGGGAAACGGGGCAACCUGUGGACUGAGAGCGGCAACUACAGCCUCAAACAAGGGCCUCCGUUUCCUCGCCGCUGCUGUCUCAGCCUCCUGCUUUUCACAUUCCCCCUUUCAGCCACGGUUGUUUUGUUUGCUCUCCCCACCCUCUAUAUACCUUAUUGCAUGAUUUGGGGUAAAAUAAAAAGGUGCCACUACUGUGUACCGUUGAGUACCACCAAGGGGGAGGGGCUUAUUGGGUUGUUGUUGUUGUUUUUAUUUAAUUAUGUAUUUUGUGGUUUUAUAUCCUGAUUUUAUCCUGUGAACUGCCUUGAGACCUGUGGGUAUAGGGCGGUCUAUAAAUUCAAUAAAUAAAGCAAGCAAGCAAGCACUGGUUAUUAUGGCGGAAAAAGCUCUAUGAUGCCAGGAGACUGUCGUUAAACCAUAUUGUGAGUCCAUUGUUAAACUGUGGUACAUAGACUUUCCAUUAAAAAAACAUAAUCAGUGACCACAGUGAUCUCAAAUAUCCAGUUUAAGACUAGCCCUAAAAAAUGUUUCAGAAAUGAAAAUGGCUAAUCUAUGUCUAUACUUCUAUAUAACAUGUGGACAUCAAACUUUUUAAAUAUCGUAGCCAAAUGUUUACAUAGUAGAGUUUAGUAACCUUCAUGCUAACUAUUAAUGAAUAUAGAAGCACCUCAAUUAAUUAGCCCAAAAUGUUGCAUCUCUUUAGUCUGAAAAGUCCCAUUUUUGCUCUCCAGAUCUUAGUGAUAGCAUCCUUCUUUGCAAGCAAUAUGGCCCCAGACUGCCACUCACUCCCUCAAACUAGCUACUGCUUUGGGAGGCAAUGAAACGUGGCACUUGGGUCUGCCCCUUCUUCAGGACAAGAGGGAUUUCCCUUCCAUUACUUCUGUAUGUAAAGACAAAGAAACAAGGGUUAAGCCAACAUGGUUCUGUUUUUUGGAGAUGUUUAUUUCCACUCCUGCUCUGGUUCACAGGGCAUGUAAGCAGGAUCAGAAAAAUGCUGCGUUCAUUUUGUUAUCAAGUUCUGGCACGGUGAUUUCCAAAGGCAGGCCCCUACACCAGAACAUCAUGAUUGCAAAUGAAUUUCUGCUGCGAUAGAGCUAAAUCUCAGCUUGACUCUCACAGCAAAAAGGCUCCUUGCUUCAGCCGUGAUGCUGGGCCCCCAAAUGCCAGUGCUCAGAAUGUCUUUAGCAUUUCAGUGUGUAUAUUGGCUGCUGGGUGUUCAAUUUUUCAAUUAAGGAUAAAAACAGCUUUAGAUAAAUUUGCUAAACUGGACAAUGAGGUUCUUGUUCUUUAGGUAGAAUUUUUAUUUAAGCUUUGCAUUGAUGUUUAGAUUUUUCUUUCAAGAAGAGUGUACUCUGAUCUGGAAUUAGGCCAUACUGUGUUUACACAAAAAUUUAGACAACUUUAUUUUCAGUGGAGCAGACGUUUCUCAAAGACAUUGAAAAGCUCAUACAGCAGUAGGAAAGUCUUCCUCCUACUCUUGAACCCCAUGGCUGAGUGAGAUGAAGCCCAGGAAGCAUAAUUUGUGAGGAGUCGAUAGAAGCAGAAUAGGCUGAGGAAUUAUGAGCUUUAUACCCACAGAUUCCAUGUUUUAAAAGCUGUAAGAUGGAGACACCAUUUAGAAAUUGUACUGUAUUGUAAAACUGAGUAUCCAGGAAGAUAGUGUGUUUACUGGGAACAGCUAUUGACAAUGGCCACUUACCUAGUUUGGGAUGGGCGGCAGUUGCAACCUGUUGCAGCAGCUCUGCUACUCCCUGAAGCAGCACCAUUAUGCCUGCAACAGUUGACUUCCUCCCCAGCCGCCACAGAGCAUUUUGGGUUCCCUCCUGACCCAAUUUUGAGAUUUGGCCAGUACAUGGUGGCCUGGGGGGUGGGGCUUUCAUUCAGAAUCUUAGCACAUUCAUUCAGGUACUCUGACAGGGAUAGAAAUUGUGUGAAUGUCUGGAUGCAUGAUGACACGGUGAUAUGUCCAUAACAAUGUUUCCUGCUUGGCAGGGGGUUGGACUCGAUGGCCCUUGUGGUCUCUUCCAACUCUAUGAUUCUAUGAUUCUAUGUCCUUAGGCUGUUUUGACCAUCACAGAUCCACCUUCCCAGCCAGUAUUUGAUAGUUUCUGUAUCAUGUUGUUCAAGCACCAUGCUGCGCACCAGAUUGAUUUGGAGUGUGUGUGUCAGGAUUUUGAACAACAGCAUUAUAUGGAAGUGCGUGCCUGGAUUUUUCACCCUUUCCACCCCAUCUAUCUUUCUGACCAAUCCUCCAGUUGCAUCAAUGCUCCUACUUGGAAUCUUGGUCAUGUCCAAGUGCCGACGGUAAACCUGGGGCUGUGCUGAGCUGUGAUAUCUUACGCACAAGUAAUCAUAUGGCACCUGCUGUAUAAUACCCUUAUAUGGCAGGGUGUUCUUUGCAAGUGCAAUAACAAGUAUUGGAUCUUCAGGCAAGAGAGUGUCCUUCUGAACUCUGCACCUGCCACUCACAGGACAUUUGUCGUAAGUAGUUGACUAGGUUCAUGAUGAUCAGAUCGAUCAUAUCUCAUAGUGACAUCUGCAUAUUGAUGAAGAGCAGUUGCAUGUUUUCAGUUGUCCAGCUCUCACUCUUGCUACUCCAACUUUUCUUUCAAUGAUAAUCAUUGAAGCACCUCUUGUAAGAGCAUUGCAUUAUUACUGGUCCUUUGACUCAUCCCAUGAACUGUGACUUGACCAUGUUGUUGAACUUUUUUUUUUUUGGCCCAACGCUUCCGAUAUGGACUGCCAUACGCCCAGGUUUUCCCAGACAUUUUAGCCACUUUUCGGAGAUUCCACCUGGAUGUCAUUUUCGAAGGAUGAAUCUCGGCUAUGUCUGGGAAAUUCCAGACAUAUGGCAGCCCUAAGUUUCUUCCAGAAGUUUCUUCAUAAUCCUAUGCUAUUGCUUCCCUUUUUCCACAGCAAAAGCCUCACCUCAGAAAUAGGACAUGUUUGUGGUCUUUGCAUUAUUUUAUAUACUAUUGGAAAUAUAUUAGAAAUACAGCCUUAAUUUAUUUUAUAAAAUUUCCAAACUGCUUGAUUGAUAAAAACCUCAAAGCAGUUUUAAAAAGAUAAAACAGUAAGAUAAAAUAAAAACACAACUCUACUGUAAAACAUU
rnacentral:lncRNA from 1 species